rnacentral:rRNA from 1 species
AGAGCGAACGCUGGCGGCAGGCUUAACACAUGCAAGUCGAGCGGGCGUAGCAAUACGUCAGCGGCAGACGGGUGAGUAACGCGUGGGAACAUACCUUUUGGUUCGGAACAACACAGGGAAACUUGUGCUAAUACCGGAUAAGCCCUUACGGGGAAAGAUUUAUCGCCGAAAGAUUGGCCCGCGUCUGAUUAGCUAGUUGGUGGGGUAACGGCCCACCAAGGCGACGAUCAGUAGCUGGUCUGAGAGGAUGAUCAGCCACAUUGGGACUGAGACACGGCCCAAACUCCUACGGGAGGCAGCAGUGGGGAAUAUUGGACAAUGGGCGAAAGCCUGAUCCAGCCAUGCCGCGUGAGUGAUGAAGGCCCUAGGGUUGUAAAGCUCUUUUGUGCGGGAAGAUAAUGACGGUACCGCAAGAAUAAGCCCCGGCUAACUUCGCGCCAGCAGCCGC